rnacentral:rRNA from 1 species
AUUGAACGCUGGCGGCAUGCUUUACACAUGCAAGUCGAACGGCAGCGCGGGCUUCGGCCUGGCGGCGAGUGGCGAACGGGUGAGUAAUACGUCGGAACGUGCCCAGUAGUGGGGGAUAGCUCGGCGAAAGCCGGAUUAAUACCGCAUACGACCUGAGGGUGAAAGCGGGGGAUCUUCGGACCUCGCGCUCUUGUAGCGGCCGAUGGCAGAUUAGCUAGUUGGUGGGGUAAAGGCCUACCAAGGCGACGAUCUGUAGCUGGUCUGAGAGGACGACCAGCCACACUGGGACUGAGACACGGCCCAGACUCCUACGGGAGGCAGCAGUGGGGAAUUUUGGACAAUGGGCGAAAGCCUGAUCCAGCAAUGCCGCGUGUGUGAUGAAGGCCUUCGGGUUGUAAAGCACUUUUGGCGGGAACGAAAAGGACUGUGCCAAUACCACGGUUCGAUGACGGUACCCGCAGAAUAAGCACCGGCUAACUACGUG